rnacentral:misc_RNA from 1 species
CCUCCCCUCGUCUCUCUUCUCAGCAACUGCACAGGAACCUGGUGCUGCACGGCCCCAUCGACUCUGUUUCUUCCUCCCCUCUUUUCCCACUCCGCACCACGGCACACCUUGCAGAGCAGCGAGAGGAUAUGCUGCGUGCGUCUCGCGUGCCCCGCGGCUACUUCAAGCGGCCUGGCCGCAAGUCGCUCGAUGAAGUCUGCAAGCAGAGUCUUUUCGAGAUGUCCAGCCCACAGCAGGUGGCGACUAUUUGGAACAAUCACCACAUGCAGUUCCUCCAGUAUUGGGGACGCACCAUCUCCUCCGAGGCGUACUACGCCCUUGAGCCGCGUCUGAAGGCAUCGCCGUAUUUUGUGGUUCCGGUGUUUCGCGACAAAGGGCUGUUCAACGCUGUCACCAACUUUAAGGACGACCUCGUUGGCGUCACACCACUCGCGGAGUGGCAAAAAAAGCAGGACGAUGCGCAGAUCCACAUGACCAUUCAGUUCUUCACCGAACUGGCCCGUAGUAAGCAGCUGGUACUGGUGCGCUGCGAAAUCAAGGACGAGGUCUUCAACCGCCUCGACUGCAUCUUCAUUACCCAGAUGCUGCUCAAGUACUACACCUUCCCCCAACUGUACGAGGCGUGGGUGGAGACAUUCAACAAGCGACCAGGCCAGUUCGACUACCACGCCUUCCUACGUGCCAUGAAAGAUGAGGCGGGCAAGGACGAAAUCAGGAUCGAAGACAAAAAGUCGGAGAUGCGCCAUGAUGCCUUCGGCCCCGUCAUCGACACGCCCCCCGACGCCGUGGCGAAGCAGAUUAUGAGCACGUUGGACAUAGGAGCGCCGAAGGCGUGAGAGGCGCGCCGCGGAAGAGCACGCAAAAGGGGCGCGACACGAGGAGUCAGCCCCGCUACCCUUUUGUUUGUGUGUUGCCGCUUCACGGUGCAAGUGGCGUGUAUUAUGGUCUGGCAUCUCUCUCCGCUCGACUAUGCGACCGGUGGCACAUUCGCCGUUGCUCUUCACGGGACUGAGCAAAGAAGAUAGGCCCAGAGAAAGCGAGAGAGAGACCAUGACACCAUGCUAGUGCGUGCGUGUAGUCAGAGUGCGUCCUGACAGCAAGAACUACGGUGACUCAGCGGAGCAGCGACAGCGAAGGAGGCGGAGGAGCUGUGUGAGCGCGUGUUGCGCGAACGACACGAGCCGGCCCUCUUUUGCAUUCUCUUUUACCCAUCCUUCAAAACAUAAUCGUACUGCAGGGCAUGACACGAGGUUACCUUAACGCAACGCGCACACUAAAUCCGUCUCUUCACACAUGCACACAUAAGCACACAUAC